rnacentral:rRNA from 1 species
UACGAAGGGGGCUAGCGUUGUUCGGAAUUACUGGGCGUAAAGGCGCGCAGGCGGCCCUCCAAGUCAGGCGUGAAAGCCCCGGGCUCAACCCGGGAAUAGUGCUUGAGACUGGGGGCUUGAGUUCGGAGAGGAGAGUGGAAUUCCCAGUGUAGAGGUGAAAUUCGUAGAUAUUGGAAGAACACCGGUGGCGAAGGCGCUCUCUGGACCGACACUGACGCUGAGGCGCGAAAGCGUGGGAGCGAACAGG